rnacentral:rRNA from 1 species
CCUACGGGUGGCUGCAGUGGGGAAUAUUGGACAAUGGGCGAAAGCCUGAUCCAGCCAUGCCGCGUGUGUGAAGAAGGCCUUCGGGUUGUAAAGCACUUUCAGUGGGGAAGAAAGCCUUGGGGCUAAUACCCUCGAGGAAGGACAUCACCCACAGAAGAAGCACCGGCUAACUCCGUGCCAGCAGCCGCGGUAAUACGGAGGGUGCGAGCGUUAAUCGGAAUUACUGGGCGUAAAGCGCGCGUAGGCGGUCUGAUAAGCCGGUUGUGAAAGCCCCGGGCUCAACCUGGGAACGGCAUCCGGAACUGUCAGGCUAGAGUGCAGGAGAGGAAGGUAGAAUUCCCGGUGUAGCGGUGAAAUGCGUAGAGAUCGGGAGGAAUACCAGUGGCGAAGGCGGCCUUCUGGACUGACACUGACGCUGAGGUGCGAAAGCGUGGGUAGCAAACAGGAUUGAUACCCGAGUAGUC